rnacentral:rRNA from 1 species
AUACGGAGGAUGCGAGGGUUAUCCGGAUUUAUUGGGUUUAAAGGGUGCGUAGGCUGUGCGUUAAGUCAGGGGUGAAAUGCCGUCGCUCAACGACGGAGCUGCCCUUGAUACUGGCGUGCUGGAGUACGGAUGCCGUUGGAGGAAUGAGUGGUGUAGCGGUGAAAUGCUUAGAUAUCACUCAGAACACCGAUUGCGAAGGCAUCUGACGAAUCCGUCACUGACGCUGAGGCACGAAAGCGUGGGGACAGAACAGGAUUAGAUACCCUGGUAUUCCACGCCGUAAACGAUGAUGACUAACCGUCGGCGAUAGACAGCCGGUGGCCAAGCGAAAGCGAUAAGUCAUCCACCUGGGGAGUACGUCGGCAACGAUGAAACUUAAAGGAAUUGACGGGG